CUCUGCCGUGCUCUGCCUGAUGCUCUGCUCUGCCAUCGACCCCCUGCUAGAGCUUUGCUUGUGUCUGCUCUGUUGAUUGCACACCCUUGGUGCUCACCAAACUCUAUCUCUCUCGACUGCUGUUUGAACCUCCCUCAUUCUCACUGCUAUAGGUCUUCUUAAAGAUCUCAGACCAUGAAUUAGACUUAAUUUGGAAGCCCUAAUGCAACUCAAAUUAGCCUCCUAGCGCCAGAUCGCACCCAACACACUCCAGCCACAGUCCGAUCAUGCAAACGAUCCAUGAUUCUUGCCUUGAUCCACACAAACACCUGUGAGCCAUGACAAAUGGGUAGGAAAUGCCCUUCAGUCCACC
rnacentral:lncRNA from 1 species